rnacentral:rRNA from 1 species
GUGGUGCACUGGCUGUCGUCAGCUCGUGUCGUGAGAUGUUGGGUUAAGUCGCGCAACGAGCGCAACCCCUUAUCUUAUGUUAGCCAGCACUUCGGGUGGGGACUCAUGAGAGACUGCCGCAGACAAUGCGGAGGAAGGCGGGGAUGACGUCAAGUCAUCAUGCCCCUUAUGACCUGGGCUACACACGUACUACAAUGGACUCUAACAGAGAGAAGCGAAGCAGUGAUGUGGAGCAAACCUCAGAAACGAGUUCCCAGUUCGGAUCGUAGGCUGCAACUCGCCUACGUGAAGUCGGAAUCGCUAGUAAUCGCAGGUCAGCAUACUGCGGUGAAUACGUUCCCGGGUCUUGUACAC